rnacentral:lncRNA from 1 species
UGACGCGUUCCUGUCACCAAAGCACAAAGCAAACAUCAUUGCACAAUAGCGUUAGGACAGUGAAAAUAAAAAUGCCGAUCUAACAUGCGUGGGCAGUGUGGGGCUGCAGCCGAGUAGGGGAAGAGUCACCCGCUGUUCCAGGCUGGCGGGGGAACCCCAUGCACAGCCCUGCCCUGCUGGGCCUGGGAAUGGCCCUGAAGUACACAAUGGAGGCACUGUCUGCAGAGAACGGGAUCCAGCCAUAGGUGGGUGUGCCCAGCCACUCCAAGGGUUUUGAAACUGUGCCUUCAGAAGUAAACCAGGCUGGUAAACACGCUAGGAGGGACUGGUAAUGUCUUAAGGAUGAGGGCCUGGGUGCCUGGCUCCUCCACACCUUGGGGUAACCCAUGUUCAGAGCCCAGGAUCUUCCUCUCCUGCACUGCUCUCCUGUGGCAGGGGACGCUCUGCACCAUGCUGGACGGAUGCAAAGGACUUUCUUAUCUGUUCCCUCACCUGAUCACCGCCUCCCAUGUGCUUCUGGCCGCCCGGCGCUUUACGGCUGUGACCUCAUCAGCAUUCUCCCCUCCCCUGCAGCCCUGCUCCAAGUCCUAGGACUUGGGAGGCUUCCC